rnacentral:rRNA from 1 species
UACGAAGGGGGCUAGCGUUGUUCGGAAUCAGCUAGGGCGUAAAGGGCUCGUAGGCGGCCAACUAAGUCGGAUGUGAAAUCCCCAGGCUCAACCUGGGAACUGCAUCCGAUACUGGAUGGCUUGAAUCCGGGAGAGGGAUGCAGGAAUUCCAGGUGUAGCGGUGAAAUGCGUAGAUAUCUGGAGGAAUACCGGUGGCGAAGGCGGCAAUCCUGGACCCGGCAGUUGACGCUGAACAGCGAA